CCGGCAGAGGCGACGCUGGUGACGACGGUCAGCACGGAGUGAGCAGGAAAGCGAGGCCAUUUGAGCAGCCAUACCAAGAGUCCUGAGGAAUGUCACGAGUAACCGAUGCAACAGAGGAAUCAAGAUGCUCUCAGACCAUAACAGGGAUGAGGAGCCGCCAGGGGAGCUCUCCGAACACCAGGUGAAGGAGCAACUCGGGGAGGUGCGGCACCAAACUGUCCUUCCCUGGAAUCAUAGAGGACUAAGGUCUCAUCUGGAGAGAAUUUUAGAGGAAGGGUCGCAUAUUCGUCAUGUUGUUCAGCUGACGCGCAGUCUUGUAACCUGCUGAGUACUGAAGAAGUGAAAAGCAGAUCCAGCACAAGCGGAAAUAUUCAUUACACUUGCAUACGAUAUCCCGAAUAUAAUCCCCGGCAAAAGUAAACGACAACACAAGACAAAUACAAGCUUUUGACACCUCCAUCUCUGCAGUGUGAACUUUUUAAAGAUUCCAUUUGUAAUAAACUGUUCAUUUAACCAAAAUAUUCUAAAAGAUAUAAAACAUGGGCAUUAUCUUAUAUCUGUAUGAUUUUCCACAAGUGUUAAUUACAUUUUAUAUUACAAUUUCCAGUGUCAAAAUGAAUAUCUCUGCGCAUCACUUAGGAUGUUUCAAAGCUUCCAUAACCUGCCGAAUCAGAAAAAUACACAAUGACUUGCUCAAUGUGACGGCCUCAUUUACAUUAAUUGUUCUUCAGCAUACUUAAGAUAAAGAAAAUACAACAUAUUUAUUACAAAUGAAAGAUAUCAUAAUUGAAGAGUACCAUAAAAUGAAUAUUGUACAUACUGAA